AUUGAACGCUGGCGGCAUGCCUUACACAUGCAAGUCGAACGGCAGCGCGGACUUCGGUCUGGCGGCGAGUGGCGAACGGGUGAGUAAUACAUCGGAACGUACCCUGUUGUGGGGGAUAACUAGUCGAAAGAUUAGCUAAUACCGCAUACGACCUGAGGGUGAAAGUGGGGGACCGCAAGGCCUCACGCAGCAGGAGCGGCCGAUGUCUGAUUAGCUAGUUGGUGGGGUAAAGGACCAACAAGGCGACGAUCAGUAGCUGGUCUGAGAGGACGAUCAGCCACACUGGGACUGAGACACGGCCCAGACUCCUACGGGAGGCAGCAGUGGGGAAUUUUGGACAAUGGGGGCAACCCUGAUCCAGCAAUGCCGCGUGUGUGAAGAAGGCCUUCGGGUUGUAAAGCACUUUUGUCCGGAAAGAAAUCGCGCUGGUUAAUACCUGGCGUGGAUGACGGUACCGGAAGAAUAAGCACCGGCUAACUACGUGCCAGCAGCCGCGGUAA
rnacentral:rRNA from 1 species